UCUCAAGUACAUUUUUCUAGAUUUCUAUUUUUAAUAAACACUGUUCUUUUAAACUUUUUAUUCAUCAAAUUUACAUUUUAUUCUAAAAACUUGGUGAAAAUGUUUAUUUUUUAUUUUUUAUUUAAUCUAUUUUCUGAUUUAUUGAGUGAUAACAAUAGAUCCCCUUUUUAACAAGAAUUUUAAACCUGACUUUAUCCAGAUUUAUAUUCUGGAAAUGUAAGCAAUUUAGGGCAUAUCUAAUUAGAUAAUGCAACUUAACAUUUCAGAAAACUUGUAAAAAAAAAAAUACUUGUAACUGCAAUCUUUUACAUGCUCUUUUUUUUACAAAUAUUACCUGUAGUGUUUACCAUGAAGAAAUUAAGUGCAUAGAUUCAAAACUCUUCAAAAUAUGUGAGUUUUAAAGGUUGAUGCCACAAAAAAAUAAACCUACAGCCAAAUCUUGGGUUCUUGGGGCUUUGAAAGCAUGCAUGGAGUAGAAAUCUCCAUGUUACUGAAGACCGUUGAGCUCCGGCAACAGCACGUGUGGGGCUUUUUCUGACAGAUGUGAAGUCCAGAGAGCUGGAGAACUUCAUUUUCCCACAACAACACAUCUGGAGAGAGAGAAAGAAAGAGAGAGAGAGAGCGAGAGAGAGAAAGAAAGAGAGAGAGAGAGAGAUACAGAAGCUUUAAGAGCAGUAAAAGUAUCAAGAGAGGUUAGUCAGCUACAGUACCUGCUCCAAACGCUCUCUCUCUCUCUCUCUGUGUGUGUUUGAGGACUCUCGCCCCAGUUUCCUCCUCCUCGAGGCAGCUCGCAGCUCCUCCUCCCCAGAGGUCGUUCUGCUGUGGUUCAGGACUCGCUCCGAGCCGCCUGUGAGGACCUGAUGCACACAAACACAGCGACUGAUUAACAUGUGUACUUAUGGAGUACACUUCCAUCUUUCUGCUGUGGAUCGCUGCUCUGAUGCCAGGGCGGCGGACCUGCUUUAAUAUUGACACCAGACAUGCAAAAAUCAUUGAGGGGUCGAAGGAGGCUCAGUUUGGAUACACGGUUCAACAACACGAGGCAGACGGGAGGAAAUGGUAAGAAACUGCUGUGUGAAAACCAGUUCUGAGUGAAAACCUGAUGGCAACCUAGAAUUUAUAUUCCCAGUUUGAGUUUCACAGGCCUGAGAGAACAUUCCCAAAUGAACAUCCCUGAUCAACAAUCCCUGACUUUCAUGCCUUGGCAAAUCUGAGCAUAGUUUGAUUUUUUCCUCAGGAGAAACUACAGCAAAAGUCUUCGUUUGCUCUCUCUCUCUGUGCUGUCUAGAAGAAACAAUCCAGAUAUUAUAGACAAAGGCUCAAUUUCAGCAAUAGUUUUCUUCUUGAAUAGUUCAAUC
ensembl:lncRNA